CAAUUAUUGUUUAUUAAACAUGGAUGUUGGCUUAGCAGCUCGUCAUCUUCAGCAAUUGCCCCCAUUGCCUUCCGUGCCGAGCUUGCCACCAAUGCCAGCCAUUCCAACUCUCCCACAGCCUACUGUGCCAACCACUCAACCUUCUCUUCCUAAGCCUACUCUGCCUCCACUUCCUAGUUUGCCCAGCAUCCCUACUAUCCCAAAGGUCAGCUUGCCUUCAUUGCCAAGCAUUCCCUCCAUUCCCACAAUCCCAACUACAAUUCCUUCCAUCCCAUUCCUUUCUCCACCACCGGGAAACUAGUCCACCUCUAGGGAGGUUAGUUGAGUUGAAUUAUUCAGUUCAUUUGUUUCUGGUUUAGUUGAUGAUACGUUUAAGCAUUGUUUAUGUAUACGAGUAACUUCUUCUACUGUCCUUCCUUCUUUCUUUUUCAAGCCUGUGCUCCAAAAUUACUAUUCCAUUUUACAUUAAAAAUCGAUUGUAUUUCAGUAUGAUAUGAUGGCUGAGUUAGAAAUUUUAAUUUUUUAAUUAAAAAAAUUACAAUUGUGCUUGUCAUGGCAAUAGAAGAAAGAGUGUACCCAAAUAAAUUGCAUCUCAACAAAAGGAACUCCUGAUUAUAAAUUUCCAGAUGUUCAAAGAAAGAUUUGAUUUUUAAAAGAAAUUAAAAAUGUACACGCAUUAGCAAAACAGAGAAACUGAGAGUGAUAAACCGAUAAAGUGAGGGAGCAAAAGGAGAAGAAGAGAAAGAACGAUAAAAGUGUCGACCAAAAUCCACAUUUUCAGUGAGAAAAUCCAAGGAAUUCAAAGCCCAACAGGCAAGGAAAUAUGAAGCUUUAGUUAGUGACACUUACGUUUUCUAUUGGCUGAACUUGAAAAGUUGAGAUUUAGAUGAUGUAGCAAAGAGAUAUUCGGUCGUUUGCUAGUUUUCUUGUUUGGGAAAGUAGAAUCCUGUUGUUUCGUAUUGGAACUAUCUAUAUGUGGGCAUUUCAGAAUUUUUUAAAGGGGAAAUGGGCUGUCAAAGUUUGAAGCUCCAAUCUCCUCCAUGAAGAUGCAAGCACUCGACUAUUGAUAUACUAGCACAGUGGUUCAUAUUGUAAGGAUAAUUAAAUGCUUGAAUAAAUACAAGGAAUAAGAAUUGCUAUUGCUGUUA